rnacentral:rRNA from 1 species
GACGAACGCUGGCGGCGCGCCUAACACAUGCAAGUCGAACGAGCGAGAGAGAGCUUGCUUUCUUGAGCGAGUGGCGAACGGGUGAGUAACGCGUGAGGAACCUGCCUCAAAGAGGGGGACAACAGUUGGAAACGACUGCUAAUACUGCAUAAGCCCACGACCCGGCAUCGGGUUGAGGGAAAAGGAGCAAUCCGCUUUGAGAUGGCCUCGCGUCCGAUUAGCUAGUUGGUGAGGUAACGGCCCACCAAGGCGACGAUCGGUAGCCGGACUGAGAGGUUGAACGGCCACAUUGGGACUGAGACACGGCCCAGACUCCUACGGGAGGCAGCAGUGGGGAAUAUUGCACAAUGGGGGAAACCCUGAUGCAGCGACGCCGCGUGGAGGAAGAAGGUCUUCGGAUUGUAAACUCCUGUUGUUGAGGAAGAUAAUGACGGUACUCAACAAGGAAGUGACGGCUAACUACGUG